AGCGAACGCUGGCGGCAGGCCUAACACAUGCAAGUCGAACGAACUCUUUGGGGUUAGUGGCGGACGGGUGAGUAACACGUGGGAACGUGCCUUUAGGUUCGGAAUAACUCAGGGAAACUUGUGCUAAUACCGAAUGUGCCCUUCGGGGGAAAGAUUUAUCGCCCUUAGAGCGGCCCGCGUCUGAUUAGCUAGUUGGUGAGGUAAUGGCUCACCAAGGCUACGAUCAGUAGCUGGUCUGAGAGGAUAACCAGCCACAUUGGGACUGAGACACGGCCCAAACUCCUACGGGAGGCAGCAGUGGGGAAUCUUGCGCAAUGGGCGAAAGCCUGACGCAGCCAUGCCGCGUGGAUGAUGAAGGUCUUAGGAUUGUAAAAUCCUUUCACCGGUGAAGAUAACGACGGUACCCAGUAAAGAAACCCCGGCUAACUCCGUGCCAGCCGCCGCGGUAACAC
rnacentral:rRNA from 1 species